rnacentral:lncRNA from 1 species
AUAUAGUGUUAGUUACAAAUAACAGUGAGCCAGCUAAGUCAUAUGUAGUUCAAGUCUGUAUAAUAAAAAAGUGAGCCAGCUACAAAAUACAAAUAACAGCUACAAAACUACAUAAACUCUAUAUACUGUUGCCUAUAUUUCCUAAGAUUGUAUGGAGGAAUGUAAUGCUUGUGUCUCUGCACUACCUAGACAUAGAUUUACUGUCUGGUUAGCUGCUCAUCAGAAGCUUCCUACCAUU